UAGGUUUCGAUCCUUCAUAGCUUCUACUAUUAGAUACAUUUCUGAGAACAUGGAUCUCAUAGCAACAGUAGAUUCUGGUUCCUUGGCCUCAUUUAUGAAGCAGUCACCGAUACUAAAUAAGCCAAGUCGGUAGAAAUGGCUUCCAAUUAUCUGGUUGACAGUGUGGAUAUCAAAGUCAAUGUUUCUGUAUGCCUUGGAGAUGUCUGGGUUGAAAGAUUUCUCCAGUUGCUUUGGGUACUUGCUCAGCGCUAUAUUCAGUUCCUUCUGUGUGCCUUCCAGCUGACUGAUAGGAGAAAUUUCCUGCAGCUUUUUAUUAAGCUCACCAAGAACAGAUUUAUAUUCAAAUUCAGAGCCAGAUUGUCCAGACUGUAUUAUUUCCACCGCCUUUUCAAUUUCUUGCAUGAUCUGGUCAAUCAUUUCUUGAGCUUUAGAACUGGACAGCUUUUGCUUCUUUGAAACAUGAUCAAAUGCAUCCUUAAUGGGAUUCAGAUCCAUUUUCACCAAAAGUAUUCACUAUAUCAAUGGUUUAAGACAAGAAAUCAAUGCAAAGCACCAAGGAGAGAUUGAGAGGGGAAAUUGGAG
rnacentral:misc_RNA from 1 species